rnacentral:rRNA from 1 species
GACGAACGCUGGCGGCGUGCUUAACACAUGCCAGUCGAACGGAGUGGCGAACGGGUGAGUAACAUGUAGGUGACUUGCCCUGCAAUACGGGAUACGCCAGGGAAACUGGGUGUAAUAACGGAUAGUGUUGGAUGGGGCCGCGGCCUAUCAGCUUGUUGGUGGGGUAAUGGCCUACCAAGGCGGCGACGGGUAGUCGGCCUGAGGGGGUGGACGGCGAGCUUGGGCCUGGGACUGGGCCCAGAGUGCAACGGGGGGCAACAGGGGGGAAGAUGGCACCAUGGGCGGAAGCCUGAUGCAGGGACCCCGGGUGGGGGAUGACGUCCCUCGCGUUGGAAACUCCUUGCUCCAUCUACGCGUUAGAUGGAGAAGAAGCACCGGCUAACUACGUGCCAGCAGCCGCGGUAAUAC